AUGGCCUUGCCGGCCAUCCCCGACGAGCUCCUGGUGGAGAUCCUCCUCCGCCUUCCAACCCCAGAAGACCUCAUCCGCGCCUUCAGCGCCUACGUCUCCUUCCGUCGCCUCGUCGCCGACCGCUCCGUCCUCCGGCGCUUCCGCAAGAUCCAUCCCCCGCCCCUCCUCGGCUUCCUCGACCCGCGGCAUCACCGGCGCCGCUUCAAAUCCGCCGUCCCGCCUCACCCCUUCGCGCCGGCGGCCAGCGCUGCCGACUUCUCCUUCGCCUUCCUCCCCGCCCCUGCGUCGGACUGGUCCGUACGGGAAGUCCGCGACGGCCGCGUCCUCCUCGACAGACCCAGUCGUCACGACGCCGCUGAGAGGCUCGGAGCCGUCGUCAAGGAGAUGGUGGUGUGCGAUCCCUUGCACCGGCAGUAUCUCCUGCUUCCCCCGAUCCCCGAUGACCUAGUCCCUUCGCUUGUGGCCGCACUCCUGAUUGAAGGGCCAUGCUUCGCCGACUCCUUCCUCGCCCCUUCCUGUGGCGACGAGGAGGCAGCGGCUGCCACGGAGGAGACGUCAUUCAGAGUGGUCUGUACGCUGCUGCUCCAAUCUAAGCCGGUGACCUUCGUCUUCUCUUCCGGCACAGGGCAAUGGCGAACCGUUCCAUCACGGACUUGGAACGAGAUGUUACCUGGCUUCGUGUUAUCCAGAACAACGUAUUUGUCGCGCUAUUACGCCCAUGGCUGCUUCUACUGGGUUGUUUCACAUGGGACGUCGAUCGACACAUCCCAGGUUGAGAGGGCACACCCUAUGCUGACGUCCGAGCAGCGGUUGCCCGAGCUCCAAACACUGUGCCGGUGCCUGGACUACAAGAAGCUGGUCCUGGAGGCAUGCAAGGACCCGUCCGAGCAGCGGUUGCCCGAGCUCCGAACCCCUUAUUCGUCGUCAACAACGAUGGCGAUGCUGAGGCAGGUCGUGGUGGGGCGAGGAGAAGGGGGCGCUGGGGCUGGGGCUGGACCUGCGGAGGGUGCAGGGCCAGGUAGCCGAGGGACCAGACUUGCUUGUUUGAUUUGUGCCGUGAGCAAGAGUGGCAGCUGGGACUGCAAAGGUUUCACCAUUGUUACCUGGCAACAGUUCAUACAUUGUGCAACUCUCAACCUCCACGUAGAGGAGAGGGCUGGACCUGAUGCUGGGAAGCAACCGACGACAGUAACACCAACUUCAUCUCAUACAUUGCAAAAGCUCGACUGUUGCUGCCUCCUGCAGGAAAGCAAGACCCUUGGCCGCUCCGGUGCCGAUCUUGAGCAUAAGAAGAACAUAAGAACUGAAUCGGGUUAUAUGAAGAACCGGAGUCAAUGUGUUUCUUUCAGAUUUCAUUGUUGCACCCAAUGGAGGUCGAAUUUUCAUCUGCUGCUCACAAAGUCUGGCACGAGCAUGGAAACUGACUGCACGCAGAAACAGAAUAAGAAACGAUCCUGUAGUAGUAGCAUCCUUGCUCCAGUACUCGAUGUCUGA
rnacentral:rRNA from 1 species